CUCCAAAGAAACUUUCCAGAUGAAGAGAAAUGCUCCAUGUCUGUGCUGUGCAAGAUGGGAGCUUCUGGACACCAGUGGCUACUGAGCACUCGAACUGUGGCUGGUGCAACCAAGGAACCGAAAUUUUUUUUACUUAAUUUUUAUUUUACUUAAUUUUUUUUACUUAAUUUUUAUUUUACUUUAUUCUAAUUAGCUAAAGCUUAAUUUUUAGUAGCUAGUGGCUGCCAUCAGAGUCCAGCAUACUUUAACAUUUAUAUUGUCUUAAUCUUUUCUCUUUUUUUUUCUUUAAAAUAUACACAGAGACAGUGUCUCCCUUUGUUGCCCAUUCUUGGCUUGAACUCCUGGGCUAAAGCAGUCCUCUUGCCUCAGCCUCCCAAAGAUGGGAUUACGGGUGCGAGCCACCACACUCUGCCACUUACAGUAUCUUCUUGUUUUACAUGUUUUCUCCAGAUCUUGAUCCUCAAAAUUGAAAAUCAGUUGUGAGUAUUGCAUUAUUAUGCCUGUAAAAAUUAUCCUUAACUUCACAAGCCGAACAGUAUAGAGUAAUUCCAUUCUGUUCCUUUACUGCUUUUAUUGUUAUUUCUUGAUGUUUUCUAAUUGUUUUUCUAUUUUUCUUUCUUUGGCUGCGCUGCCCAUAUUGGUUACUCCAUAAUUUCAGGGGUGGUAUCACGCUCUGUGAUUCCAUUUUCCCCUGAAUACUUUGCUUUUGGAAACUUUUCCUCUCUUACCGAGCUCCAUGCUGAUGUUUGCUGUGUGGUUCAGCUGCCUGAUUCCCAUCCAAGGAUUUCCCUUUGCAACGCUCCCAGGUUGAGUCUUCUGUUUCCCGGAUUCCACCACUUCCAUUUUUUAGUUUACUCCCUUAUUUUGCUGGGGUCCAUCAUCAAGUAACUUCCUAAGAAGGGAUCAGCAACCUACUUUCCACGGGCCGCUUUUGGCUUGCUGCCUAUUUUUGCACAGCUGAGAGUACACCAUCCUGAUCUGAGCAUGAGAAAAGAAGUUCCCUGAGGGCAGGACUUUAUUUGGUUCACUGCUGCGUCCUCACUGCCUAGACACAGUGCUCAAAAAUAUUUGCUGAAUGCUAUGGCUAGGCUUUGUGUCCCCACCCAA
rnacentral:lncRNA from 1 species